rnacentral:lncRNA from 1 species
GCAAUUCUCAAAUUGCAGUCAUCCAAAAGCAACUGGAUAAUGCAUCCAGGAGUCAUCCAACCUUUUGCCACACAGGCAGUCUGGCCAAAAGCCUUUGGGAUUGCUGGUGGAGCAGAGGAGCUCUGCCCUGUGAAUGUAGUAAGUGCCCUAAUCCGAAAUGUUUUUAACACCGGCCACAAAUGGAUCGUGUGCUCGUCAUGCAAAUUACCCCAAGCAGAUAGCCAAAACAUUAUCUCAUGCUGGCCUGGAUGCUACAGUGCUGAAAUGCUCCCUCAGGAUCCUGGGCAGAUGUCUCUGGGCUUUCUGACUCUUCUCUGGGAUGGGCAAAGUCAAGCCUCAGCCAUUUCCCCAUGUAGGAAAUGUGUUGUGAGAAUGGAGGCUACUGUAAGAACAGAAAUGCAUUUCUUGGUUGCACCUUCACUCAGAGGAAUGCAGAUGUCAGCCACAAAAGAUGUCCCUGAAGAGGAAGACUUCAUUUAAGUGGCUUACAGGAGGGAGAAGAUGAUCAUGUUGGUGUCAGUGCAGCUGUUUGGAAAUCCUGCCGCCUUUGGGGCUGCUCUGCCUGCUGGCAGUGGGAGCAGAACAGCCCAGGGCUCACAGGCAGCAGCUGAAGAGCACAAGGGUUUUGCCCUGAGAAUCUGAGUCUUUCACUCACCUUGAUAAAUUCUUGGAGGUUGGGUGCUGGGCUGUGAAACGUGCUCUGCUCACCUACCACUGGCCUGCUCAUCUUCCUUAUUAUUUUUAAUUUUUUAUGUGUAUUUUUCCAUUUAUAAAACUUUGUUAAACUUUCUGAGAUACACGGUUGGAAAGUGCUGCUUAAAAAUUGAGUUGUUCUUUCUGCUACUUGAUUAUUGUUUUUCCCAAGGCCUGGGUGAGAUUAGAAGCUUGAGUUUGCGUGCAGAAGUUGUAUUAUUUGUUUUGUUUUGUUUUCCUAACCACUUCCACAUGCAAUCAGGUUUUAUUGCCAGCUGCUCUCCAUGGUUGGUCUCUGGGGAAUGUAGGCUCCUGUUUGUUGUUAAACUCAUAACAGUUGGUUAAUUUAGCUUUUUUCAAAUGUUAGUUUGUCAGGUUUGGGUUUCCACCAGUUGUCUUUACCCAGCCAGAGGUGGGCAAUGGAAUAAGCAAUGAUGUGUAGAAAGGGAUCAUCAGAACCUCAAAUUCCUGUAGAGGGAGAAGUGGGCAAGUUUAUCACCAUUCUUGCAUUCUUUCUGAAUUAAAAUUAAGUAUCUUGGAAUUUUUCACUUCCC